GCAACGGAGUGAGGCUGCAAGGGAGUAACAGGUGGACGCAGCAGAGCCAAGCCUGACAAGGCAGCCCAAAGAAUCAAGAUCAAGUUAUAUCUACCAAGAUAUUUGCCUGCUAUAUGAGAAGCCCAGAAACAUUGGCCAGAGGAUAAAUCAUCAUCUGAUGGGUUCCAAGAUUGCCUAGGUGCUUACCACUCAUCAUUUCAUCAUCAUUUUCAUACAAAAGAUAGCAUUAACAAUCAUAUUCUAUUUAGAUCAUUUAAGCUGAUUCAGAUUUUGGAUUAUUUCAGGCGCCACUGGAUUUGAAAGUAGUUCUCAUUCAUGUUUGCCAUAGACAGUGUUACAUGACUCAUAGCUGGAGCACUUCUACAUUCUGGAUCAACAUGAAAUGUCACCACUCCACCUCCGAUCACCUGUGUGCCAGCUCGGCAAACCUGCAGCCAGAUCUCUUUCCCUGGAUUUCCCCUUGUGCAAGCAUUCAUGCCUGGAUACCUUUCCUCACCUCAGCCAAAACAUCAGCCAGGGACCAGCUCACCAAAGUAACUUGAUGAAGAUGAACUGUGUUAGAAAAUAUCAGAUUCUUUGAUUUAGAAGUCAAUAUGUACAAACCA